rnacentral:rRNA from 1 species
UGAGAGGACGACCAGCCACACUGGAACUGAGACACGGUCCAGACACCUACGGGUGGCAGCAGUCGAGAAUUUUUCACAAUGGGGGCAACCCUGAUGGAGCGACGCCGCGUGGAGGAUGAAGGUCUUCGGAUUGUAAACUCCUGUCAUUGGUGAACAAGAUCUGCCGGGUAACUCCGUUGCAGGUUUGCUAGUAGCCGAAGAGGAAGGGACGGCUAACUCUGUGCCAGCAGCCGCGGUAAUACAGAGGUCCCGAGCGUUGUUCGGAUUUAUUGGGCGUAAAGGGUGCGUAGGCGGCGGAGUAAGUUGGGUGUGAAAUCCCGGGGCUCAACCUCGGAAUUGCAUUCAAUACUGCUUCGCUCGAGUACUGGAGAGGAGGCUGGAAUUUACGGUGUAGCAGUGAAAUGCGUAGAUAUCGUAAGGAAGGCCGGUGGCGAAAGCGAGCCUCUGGACAGUUACUGACGCUGAUGCACGAAGGCCAGGGGAGCAAACGGGAUUAGAUACCCCGGUAGUCCUGGCAGUAAACGGUGCGCGUUUGGUGUGGGGGGAUUCGACAAUCUCCGCGCCGGAGCUAACGCGUUAAACGCGCCGCCUGGGAAAUACGGUCGCAAGAUUAAAACUCAAAGAAAUUGACGGGGGCCCGCACAAGCGGUGGAGUAUGUGGCUUAAUUCGAUGCAACGCGAAGAACCUUACCUGGGCUUGACAUGCAUCGCUAAGGUGGUGAAAGCCGCCGAGGGUAGCAAUACCUACUUUGCACAGGUGCUGCAUGGCUGUCGUCAGCUCGUGUCGUGAGAUGUUGGGUUAAGUCCCGCAACGAGCGCAACCCUUAUGAACUGUUGCAGCGACGCAAGUCGCGCUCUCUGUUCAGACCGCCCUGUGAAACGGGGAGGAAGGUGGGGAUGACGUCAAGUCAGCAUGGCCCUUACGCCCAGGGCUGCACACGUACUACAAUGCCCAGUACAGAGGGAGCCGAGCCGGCGACGGUAAGGAAAUCCCAAAAAACUGGGCUCAGUUCAGAUUGCAGGCUGCAACUCGCCUGCAUGAAGCUGGAAUCGCUAGUAAUGCCGUAUCAGCUACGACGGCGUGAAUACGUUCCCGGGCCUUGUACACACCGCCCGUCACAUCAUGGAAGUCGCCCGCUCCCGAACUG